rnacentral:rRNA from 1 species
ACUCCUACGGGAGGCAGCAGUGGGGAAUAUUGGACAAUGGGCGCAAGCCUGAUCCAGCAAUGCCGCGUGUGUGAAGAAGGCCUUUUGGUUGUAAAGCACUUUAAGCGAGGAGGAGGCUACCGAGAUUAAUACUCUAGGAUAGUGGACGUUACUCGCAGAAUAAGCACCGGCUAACUCUGUGCCAGCAGCCGCGGUAAUACAGAGGGUGCGAGCGUUAAUCGGAUUUACUGGGCGUAAAGCGUGCGUAGGCGGCUUCUUAAGUCGGAUGUGAAAUCCCUGAGCUUAACUUAGGAAUUGCAUUCGAUACUGGGAAGCUAAAGUAUGGGAGAGGAUGGUAGAAUUCCAGGUGUAGCGGUGGAAUGCGUAGAGAUCUGGAGGAAUACCGAUGGCGAAGACAGCCAUCUGGCCUAAUACUGACGCUGAGGUACGAAAGCAUGGGGAGCAAACAGGAUUAGAUACCCUGGUAGUCCAUGCCGUAAACGAUGUCUACUAGCCGUUGGGGCCUUUGAGGCUUUAGUGGCGCAGCUAACGCGAUAAGUAGACCGCCUGGGGAGUACGGUCGCAAGACUAAAACUCAAAGGAAUUGACGG